GACGAACGCUGGCGGCGUGCUUAACACAUGCAAGUCGAACGGAAAGGCCCUGCUUGCAGGGUACUCGAGUGGCGAACGGGUGAGUAACACGCGGGUGAUCUGCCCUGCACUUCGGGAUAAGCCUGGGAAACUGGGUCUAAUACCGGAUAGGAGCCAUUUUUAGGGUGAUGGUUGGAAAGUUUUUUCGGUGUAGGAUGAGCUCGCGGCCUAUCAGCUUGUUGGUGGGGUAAUGGCCUACCAAGGCGGCGACGGGUAGCCGGCCUGUGAGGGUGGGCGGCCACAUUGGGGCUGAGAUACGGCCCAGACUCCUACGGGAGGCAGCAGUGGGGAAUAUUGCACAAUGGGCGCGAGCCUGAUGCAGCGACGCCGCGUGGGGGAUGACGGGCUUCGGGUUGUAAACUCCUUUCGCGAGGGACGAAGCUUUUUGUGACGGUACCUAGAUAAGAAGCACCGGCUAACUACGUG
rnacentral:rRNA from 1 species